rnacentral:tRNA from 1 species
GCCCAGCUAGCUCAGUUGGUAGAGCAUGAGACUCUUAAUCUCAGGGUCGUGGGUUUGUGCCCUAUGUUGGGCA